rnacentral:rRNA from 1 species
GAUGAACGCUGGCGGCGUGCCUAAUACAUGCAAGUCGAGCGAACAGACGAGGAGCUUGCUCCUCUGACGUUAGCGGCGGACGGGUGAGUAACACGUGGAUAACCUACCUAUAAGACUGGGAUAACAUCGGGAAACCGGAGCUAAUACCGGAUAAUAUAUUGUACCGCAUGGAUCAAUAGUGAAAGACGGUUUUGCUGUCACUUAUAGAUGGAUCCGCGCCGCAUUAGCUAGUUGGUAAGGUAACGGCUUACCAAGGCAACGAUGCGUAGCCGACCUGAGAGGGUGAUCAGCCACACUGGAACUGAGACACGGUCCAGACUCCUACGGGAGGCAGCAGUAGGGAAUCUUCCGCAAUGGGCGCAAGCCUGACGCAGCAACGCCGCGUGAGUGAUGAAGGUCUUCGGAUCGUAAAGCUCUGUUAUUAGGGAAGAACAAAUGUGUAAGUAACUAUGCACGUCUUGACGGUACCUAAUCAGAAAGCCACGGCUAACUACGUG